UACGGGGGGGGGCAAGCGUUGUUCGGAAUUACUGGGCGUAAAGGGCGCGUAGGCGGUUCGCUAAGUUGAAUGUGAAAACUCUGGGCUUAACCCAGAGCCUGCAUCCAAAACUGGCGAACUGGAGUACUGGAGGGGAAAGCGGAAUUCCUGGUGUAGCGGUGAAAUGCGUAGAUAUCAGGAGGAACACCGGUGGCGAAGGCGGCUUUCUGGACAGUAACUGACGCUGAGGCGCGAAAGCCGGGGGAGCAAACAGG
rnacentral:rRNA from 1 species